GGUUUCGAGGAGCGUUGCAAGGUGCCGCCACGGCAUCCCAGGCUCGAAGCCCCUUCUUUGCAACCGCGCUCACCCGCC
rnacentral:ncRNA from 1 species